rnacentral:rRNA from 1 species
CGUAGGGUGCGAGCGUUAAUCGGAAUUACUGGGCGUAAAGCGUGCGCGGGCGGUUUUGUAAGACAGAUGUGAAAUCCCCGGGCUCAACCUGGGACCUGCAUUUGUGACUGCAAGGCUAGAGUACGGUAGAGGGGGAUGGAAUUCCGCGUGUAGCAGUGAAAUGCGUAGAUAUGCGGAGGAACACCGAUGGCGAAGGCAAUCCCCUGGACCUGUACUGACGCUCAUGCACGAAAGCGUGGGGAGCAAACAGGAUUAGAUACCCUGGUAGUCCACGCCCUAAACGAUGUCAACUGGUUGUUGGGUCUUUACUGACUCAGUAACGAAGCUAACGCGUGAAGUUAUCCGCCUGGGGAGUACGGUCGCAAGAUUA